UACGUAGGGGGCAAGCGUUGUCCGGAAUCAUUGGGCGUAAAGCGCGUGUAGGCGGCUCGAUAAGUCCGCUCUGAAAGUCCAGGGCUCAACCCUGGGAUGCGGGUGGAUACUGUCGGGCUCGAGUCCGGAAGAGGCGAGUGGAAUUCCUGGUGUAGCGGUGAAAUGCGCAGAUAUCAGGAGGAACACCAAUGGCAAAGGCAGCUCGCUGGGACGUGACUGACGCUGAGACGCGAAAGCGUGGGGAGCAAACAGG
rnacentral:rRNA from 1 species